rnacentral:rRNA from 1 species
UACGAAGGGGGCUAGCGUUGUUCGGAAUUACUGGGCGUAAAGCGCGUGUAGGCGGGUCUUUAAGUCAGGGGUGAAAUGCCAAGGCUCAACCUUGGAACUGCCUUUGAUACUGGAGAUCUUGAGUCCGGGAGAGGUGAGUGGAAUUGCGAGUGUAGAGGUGAAAUUCGUAGAUAUUCGCAAGAACACCAGUGGCGAAGGCGGCUCACUGGCCCGGAACUGACGCUGAGACGCGAAAGCGUGGUGAGCAAACAGG